rnacentral:pre_miRNA from 1 species
AAUAUACUCCCUUCGUCCGAAAAUACUUGUCAUCAAAAUGGAUGAAAAGAAAUGUAUUUAAAACUAAAAUACAUCUAGAUACAUCACUUUUUAUUCAUUUUGAUGACAAGUAUUUUUGGACAGAGGGAGUACCUA